CGUCUAGGCGGGGAGUUAAGUUAGGUGUGAAAUCUAUGGGCUCAACUCAUAAACUGCAUCUAAAACUGAUUCUCUUGAGUUCGGGAGAGGAAAGCGGAAUUCCCGGUGUAACGGUGAAAUGUGUAGAUAUCGGGAGGAACACCAGUGGCGAAGGCGGCUUUCUGGCCUAGAACUGACGCUGAAGCGCGAAAGCGCGGGUAGCGAACG
rnacentral:rRNA from 1 species